UACGUAGGGGGCAAGCGUUGUCCGGAUUUAUUGGGCGUAAAGAGCGUGUAGGCGGCUUUGCAAGUCCGUUGUGAAAACUCGAGGCUCAACCUCGAGACGCCGGUGGAAACUGCAAAGCUAGAGUCCGGUAGGGGAGUGUGGAAUUCCCGGUGUAGCGGUGAAAUGCGCAGAUAUCGGGAGGAACACCGAUGGCGAAGGCAGCACUCUGGGCCGGCACUGACGCUGAGGAGCGAAAGCGUGGGGAGCGAACAGG
rnacentral:rRNA from 1 species